rnacentral:misc_RNA from 1 species
GUGAAUCAUCAAAUUUUUGAACGCAAAUUGCACUCUCUUCGGAGAGUAUGCCUGUUUGAGGGUCAGCCUAAAAAAAUCGACGUGGGCGCUGUUUCGCUGUGACAUUCGUGGGAAGGUGGUUCAUCUUAAACCUUUGGGUUUUGUAAGCGGCUUAAAAUUUUCUUUACGAUUCCACGAACGUUUCUAAUAUUUUACUUCUUUCACACGUUUAAGUUAUCGAUCUUUAUUAGACGUGGCCGUUGCAGCGUGUCUCGGCCAUAAAUAUUUCGUUAACUGU